AGACCCUUACCAGGUCUUGACAUUUUCUGCCAGGAUGAGAGAUCAGCUGUUCCCUUCGGGGACAGAAUGACGGGUGGUGCAUGGUUGUCGUCAGCUCGUGUCGUGAGAUGUUGGGUUAAGUCCCGCAACGAGCGCAACCCUUAUGAUCAGUUGCCAGCAUUCAGUUGGGCACUCUGGUCAGACUGCCGGUGACAAACCGGAGGAAGGCGGGGAUGACGUCAAAUCAUCAUGCCCCUUAUGACCUGGGCUACACACGUGCUACAAUGGGUGGUACAACGAGCAGCGAGACCGCGAGGUCAAGCGAAUCUCUAAAAACCAUCCUCAGUUCGGAUUGCAGGCUGCAACUCGCCUACAUGAAGCUGGAAUCGCUAGUAAUCGCGGAUCAGCACGCCGCGGUGAAUACGUUCCCGGGUCUUGUACACACCGCCU
rnacentral:rRNA from 1 species